GGUUAAGUGACUAAGCGUACACGGUGGAUGCCUAGGCAGUCAGAGGCGAUGAAGGGCGUGCUAAUCUGCGAAAAGCGUCGGUAAGGUGAUAUGAACCGUUACAACCGGCGAUACCCGAAUGGGGAAACCCAGUGUGUUUCGACACACUAUCAUGUCAUGAAUACAUAGUGGCAUGAGGCGAACCGGGGGAACUGAAACAUCUAAGUACCCCGAGGAAAAGAAAUCAACCGAGAUUCCCCCAGUAGCGGCGAGCGAACGGGGAGGAGCCCAGAACCUGAAUCGGCUUGUGUGUUAGUGGAAGCGUCUGGAAAGUCGCGCAGCAAAGGGUGAUAGCCCCGUACACUAAAAUGCACAGGUCGUGAGUUCGAUGAGUAGGGCGGGACACGUGACAUCCUGUCUGAAUAUGGGGGGACCAUCCUCCAAGGCUAAAUACUCCUGACUGACCGAUAGUGAACCAGUACCGUGAGGGAAAGGCGAAAAGAACCCCGGCGAGGGGAGUGAAAUAGAACCUGAAACCGUGUACGUACAAGCAGUGGGAGCACCUUCGUGGUGUGACUGCGUACCUUUUGUAUAAUGGGUCAGCGACUUAUAUUUUGUAGCAAGGUUAACCGUAUAGGGGAGCCGUAGGGAAACCGAGUCUUAACUGGGCGAAUAGUUGCAAGGUAUAGACCCGAAACCCGGUGAUCUAGCCAUGGGCAGGUUGAAGGUUGGGUAACACUAACUGGAGGACCGAACCGACUAAUGUUGAAAAAUUAGCGGAUGACUUGUGGCUGGGGGUGAAAGGCCAAUCAAACCGGGAGAUAGCUGGUUCUCCCCGAAAGCUAUUUAGGUAGCGCCUCGUGAACUCAUCUUCGGGGGUAGAGCACUGUUUCGGCUAGGGGGCCAUCCCGGCUUACCAAACCGAUGCAAACUCCGAAUACCGAAGAAUGUUAUCACGGGAGACACACGGCGGGUGCUAACGUCCGUCGUGAAGAGGGAAACAACCCAGACCGCCAGCUAAGGUCCCAAAGUCAUGGUUAAGUGGGAAACGAUGUGGGAAGGCAUAGACAGCCAGGAUGUUGGCUUAGAAGCAGCCAUCAUUUAAAGAAAGCGUAAUAGCUCACUGGUCGAGUCGGCCUGCGCGGAAGAUGUAACGGGGCUAAACCAUGCACCGAAGCUGCGGCAGCGACGUUUAGGCGUUGUUGGGUAGGGGAGCGUUCUGUAAGCCGUUGAAGGUGGCCUGUGAGGGUUGCUGGAGGUAUCAGAAGUGCGAAUGCUGACAUAAGUAACGAUAAAGCGGGUGAAAAGCCCGCUCGCCGGAAGACCAAGGGUUCCUGUCCAACGUUAAUCGGGGCAGGGUGAGUCGACCCCUAAGGCGAGGCUGAAAAGCGUAGUCGAUGGGAAACAGGUUAAUAUUCCUGUACUUGGUGUUACUGCGAAGGGGGGACGGAGAAGGCUAGGCUAGCCGGGCGACGGUUGUCCCGGUUUAAGCGUGUAGGGGGUGUGACCUGGUAAAUCCGGUUGCAUAUCAACCCUGAGGCGUGAUGACGAUGCACUACGGUGCAGAAGUAGUUGAUGCCCUGCUUCCAGGAAAAGCCUCUAAGCUCUAGGUAACAUUAAAUCGUACCCCAAACCGACACAGGUGGUCAGGUAGAGAAUACCAAGGCGCUUGAGAGAACUCGGGUGAAGGAACUAGGCAAAAUGGUGCCGUAACUUCGGGAGAAGGCACGCUGGCAUGUAGGUGAAGUCCUUCGCGGAUGGAGCUGAAGCCAGUCGAAGAUACCAGCUGGCUGCAACUGUUUAAUAAAAACACAGCACUGUGCAAACACGAAAGUGGACGUAUACGGUGUGACGCCUGCCCGGUGCUGGAAGGUUAAUUGAUGGGGUCAGCCGCAAGGCGAAGCUCUUGAUCGAAGCCCCAGUAAACGGCGGCCGUAACUAUAACGGUCCUAAGGUAGCGAAAUUCCUUGUCGGGUAAGUUCCGACCUGCACGAAUGGCGUAAUGAUGGCCAGGCUGUCUCCACCCGAGACUCAGUGAAAUUGAACUCGCUGUGAAGAUGCAGUGUACCCGCGGCAAGACGGAAAGACCCCGUGAACCUUUACUAUAGCUUGACACUGAACAUUGAGCCUUGAUGUGUAGGAUAGGUGGGAGGCUUUGAAGCGUGGACGCCAGUCUGCGUGGAGCCAUCCUUGAAAUACCACCCUUUAAUGUUUGAUGUUCUAACUCGGCCCCAUAAUCUGGGGUGAGGACAGUGUCUGGUGGGUAGUUUGACUGGGGCGGUCUCCUCCCAAAGAGUAACGGAGGAGCACGAAGGUUAGCUAAUCACGGUCGGACAUCGUGAGGUUAGUGCAAAGGCAUAAGCUAGCUUGACUGCGAGAGUGACGGCUCGAGCAGGUACGAAAGUAGGUCUUAGUGAUCCGGUGGUUCUGAAUGGAAGGGCCAUCGCUCAACGGAUAAAAGGUACUCCGGGGAUAACAGGCUGAUACCGCCCAAGAGUUCAUAUCGACGGCGGUGUUUGGCACCUCGAUGUCGGCUCAUCACAUCCUGGGGCUGAAGUAGGUCCCAAGGGUAUGGCUGUUCGCCAUUUAAAGUGGUACGCGAGCUGGGUUUAGAACGUCGUGAGACAGUUCGGUCCCUAUCUGCCGUGGGCGUUGGAAGAUUGAGAGGGGUUGCUCCUAGUACGAGAGGACCGGAGUGAACGCACCACUGGUGUUCGGGUUGUCAUGCCAAUGGCAUUGCCCGGUAGCUAAGUGCGGAAAAGAUAAGCGCUGAAAGCAUCUAAGCGCGAAACUUGCCUCAAGAUGAGUCUUCCCUGGGCCUUUAAGGCCCCUGAAGGAACGUUUAAGACUAAGACGUUGAUAGGCUGGGUGUGUAAGUGCAGCGAUGCAUUGAGCUAACCAGUACUAAUGAUCCGUGAGGCUUAACCUU
rnacentral:rRNA from 1 species